rnacentral:rRNA from 1 species
GAUCCUGGCUCAGGAUGAACGCUAGCUACAGGCUUAACACAUGCAAGUCGAGGGGCAGCAUUUUUAUAGCAAUAUAAGAGAUGGCGACCGGCGCACGGGUGAGUAACACGCAUCCAACCUGCCGAUAACUCGGGGAUAACCCUUCGAAAGAAGGCCUAAUACCCGAUGGCAUAUCCCUUCCGCCUGGUGGGGAUAUUAAAGAACUUCGGUUAUCGAUGGGGAUGCGUUCCAUUAGCUUGUUGGCGGGG